UAGGGAAUAUCGGUCAAUGGGCGCAAGCCUGAACCAGCCAUGCCGCGUGCAGGAAGACGGCCCUAUGGGUUGUAAACUGCUUUUAUCAGGGAAGAAACCCUCGCUCGUGAGCGAGGCUGACGGUACUUGAGGAAUAAGGAUCGGCUAACUCCGAGCCAGCAGCCGCGGUAAUACGGAGGAUCCAAGCGUUGUCCGGAUUUAUUGGGUUUAAAGGGUGCGUAGGCGGAAUAAUAAGUCAGAGGUGAAAGCCGGUAGCUUAACUAUCGAAUUGCCUUUGAAACUGUUAAUCUUGAGUAUUGUUGAGGUAGGCGGAAUGUAUCAUGUAGCGGUGAAAUGCUUAGAUAUGAUACAGAACACCAAUUGCGAAGGCAGCUUACUAAGCAAAAACUGACGCUGAGGCACGAAAGCGUGGGGAUCAAACAG
rnacentral:rRNA from 1 species